rnacentral:rRNA from 1 species
GACGAACGCUGGCGGCGUGCUUAACACAUGCAAGUCGAGCGGUAAGGCCCUUUCGGGGGUACGACGAGCGGCGAACGGGUGAGUAACACGUGGGUGACCUCGCCCUCCAGCUCUGGGAUAAGCCUGGGAAACCGGGUACUAAUACCGGAUAUGACUCCAUGACGCAUGUUGUGGGGUGGAAAGCCUUGUGCGGCUGAGGAUGGGCCCGCGGCCUAUCAGCUUGUUGGUGGGGUGAUGGCCUACCAAGGCGACGACGGGUAGCCGGCCUGAGAGGGCGACCGGCCACACUGGGACUGAGACACGGCCCAGACUCCUACGGGAGGCAGCAGUGGGGAAUCUUGCGCAAUGGGCGAAAGCCUGACGCAGCGACGCCGCGUGAGGAUGACGGCCU